rnacentral:rRNA from 1 species
UACGUAGGGGGCUAGCGUUGUCCGGAAUCAUUGGGCGUAAAGAGCGUGUAGGCGGUCCGGUAAGUCCGCUGUGAAAGUCGGGGGCUCAACCCUCGAAUGCCGGUGGAUACUGUCGGGCUAGAGUACGGAAGAGGAGAAUGGAAUUCCCGGUGUAGCGGUGAAAUGCGCAGAUAUCGGGAAGAACACCCGUGGCGAAGGCGGUUCUCUGGG